UUACUCUUACGGGAGGCAGCAGUUGGUAAUUUUGGACAAUGGGCGCAAGCCUGAUCCAGCCAUUCCGCGUGAGUGAAGAAGGCCUUCGGGUUGUAAAGCUCUUUCGGCAGGAAAGAAACGGUCUGUGCUAAUACCACGGGCUAAG
rnacentral:rRNA from 1 species